GGGGGCGACAUGGCUUCGACGUGGGUUACGAAACCCUGGGUGCAUGCCGAGGCGCAGAAUACCUCGUAAAUACAGCUGCAAACCAUAUAGUUGCCAACGACGACAACUACGCUUUAGCUGCUUAAAAACCAGUCUAUAGCCCUCCGACCGGUUCGUGCUUGUGCGUCCGACCCCGGGGGUAAUCAUCGCAAGAUCGCGCCAGGGCAUGUUUGGGGUCCGAACGUUAAACUUCACUAAACUGGCUGUCGGUUUUCCCUGCCCGUCGGGUAGCUGACAGCGAGAUUAAAGACGGUAUAAGCAUGUAGACCUCGGGGCAGAGGGCUUGCGGACGCGGGUUCGAUUCCCGCCGCCUCCACCA
rnacentral:tmRNA from 2 species